GACGAACGCUGGCGGCGUGCUUAACACAUGCAAGUCGAACGGAAAGGCCCUGCUUUUGUGGGGUGCUCGAGUGGCGAACGGGUGAGUAACACGUGAGUAACCUGCCCUUGACUUUGGGAUAACUUCAGGAAACUGGGGCUAAUACCGGAUAGGAGCUCCUGCUGCAUGGUGGGGGUUGGAAAGUUUCGGCGGUUGGGGAUGGACUCGCGGCUUAUCAGCUUGUUGGUGGGGUAGUGGCUUACCAAGGCUUUGACGGGUAGCCGGCCUGAGAGGGUGACCGGCCACAUUGGGACUGAGAUACGGCCCAGACUCCUACGGGAGGCAGCAGUGGGGAAUAUUGCACAAUGGGCGGAAGCUUGACGGAGCAACGCCGCGUGAGUGAUGAAGGUCUUCGGAUCGUAAAACUCUGUUAUUAGGGAAGAACAAAUGUGUAAGUAACUAUGCACGUCUUGACGGUACCUAAUCAGAAAGCCACGGCUAACUACGUG
rnacentral:rRNA from 1 species